rnacentral:tRNA from 2 species
GCUGGUGUAGCUCAACUGGCAGAGCAGCUGAUUUGUAAUCAGCAGGUUGUAGGUUCGAUUCCUAUCACCAGCUCCA